UAGGGAAUAUUGGGCAAUGGAGGCAACUCUGACCCAGCAAUGCCGCGUGAAUGAAGAAGGUUUUCGGAUUGUAAAGUUCUGUUCUAAGGGAAGAAUAAAAUGACGGUACCUUAGAAGAAAGCCACGGCAAACUACGUGCCAGCAGCCGCGGUAAUACGUAGGUGGCAAGCGUUGUCCGGAAUAACUGGGCGUAAAGGGAGUGUAGGUGGCUUCUUAAGUUGAAUGUGAAAUCCUUGGGCUUAACCCAAGAACUGCAUUUAAUACUGGGAGGCUAGAGUGCAGGAGAGGAUAGUGGAAUUCCUAGUGUAGCGGUAGAAUGCGUAGAUAUUAGGAGGAACAUCAGAGGCGAAGGCGGCUAUCUGGACUGUAACUGACACUGAGACUCGAAAGCGUGGGGAGCAAACA
rnacentral:rRNA from 1 species